rnacentral:tRNA from 1 species
AGCCCCGAGGUGUAUAUACACAUAAGAUUGCAAAUCUUAAGUAGCCGAUUAAUUUUUGCCGGGGCUU